UGCACCGCUAGGUGGAAUCUGAAGGAAGCCGGAGGAAAAAGCACAGCCUGAGGUACACGAAUCCAAUCGGAGCGGUUGCAGCCGUAGACUUGGGCAGGCGCGGGCCGAAAGAUGGCGUU
rnacentral:ncRNA from 1 species